GAAGGAAUGAUCACAGACCAGGAAGAAGAAAUGGGCCAUUUAAAAUUAGAGAACAAAAGAGCUGAACCUGUCAGCCUCCGUGUUUAAGAGCGUCCGUGACACAAACACUCGACUCAUCAAGAAGGGCAAAAGGAAGUCAGGGAAGGAGAUAAUGAUGAUGAAAACUGGACAAACUGGCAAUGGUUCAUCAAGGCAUCCAAGUGUGGAGGCUGUUAUCCUUGAGGACUCGGGCAUCUUGGAUGCUGCUGAAGCUGCUGCUGCACAGGAGGCCGCGGACGUAGACUCUGAAGGCGAACCGAGGACUUCCACUUCAGCUGGUCCAAGAAGGCAAAGUAUCAAAGAAGACGAGAUGGACCGAAUGUUACUGCUAAUGCAGGAACGAGCGGAGGAGAGUCGGGCCCGCAUGGAAGAA